rnacentral:sRNA from 1 species
CGAUCUGCUGAGGACAGAUGAAAUGGAUGUGAGCAUCAAUACCUCCGGCAGUGAGUAUCUGUCCCUCUCCAGCAAUGGCUUCCGUUGAGGGGCCAAUGAUGAUGUCGACAUCCGGUUGGACGUCGGGAUUUCCAGCUUUCCCGAUCCCAGCAAUACGACCGCCUUUCAGACCAACGUCAGCCUUGAUGAUGCCCCAGUGAUCAAUGAUGAGAACGUUAGUGAUCACAGUGUCGACCGUUUCCGAUGAAGGGCGCUGACUUUGACCCAUGCCAUCACG